UUGCAGAGCAUCGGUAGUGGGAUUGCCUA
rnacentral:piRNA from 1 species